rnacentral:rRNA from 1 species
GUGAGGAAUAUUGGUCAAUGGACGCGAGUCUGAACCAGCCAAGUAGCGUGAAGGAUGACUGCCCUAUGGGUUGUAAACUUCUUUUAUAAGGGAAUAAAGUGAGGGACGUGUCCCUUUUUGUAUGUACCUUAUGAAUAAGGAUCGGCUAACUCCGUGCCAGCAGCCGCGGUAAUACGGAGGAUCCAAGCGUUAUCCGGAUUUAUUGGGUUUAAAGGGAGCGUAGGUUGACAUAUAUGUCAGCUGUGAAAGUUUACGGCUCAACCGUGAAAUUGCAGUUGAUACUGUAUGUCUUGAGUGUACAAGAGGUGGGCGGAAUUCGUGGUGUAGCGGUGAAAUGCUUAGAUAUCACGAAGAACUCCAAUUGCGAAGGCAGCUCACUGGGGUACAACUGACACUGAGGCUCGAAAGUGUGGGUAUCAAACAGGAUUAGAAACCCCGGUAGUCC